CAAGGUAACCGUAACUCUAGAGUUUGAUCAUGGCUCAGUAAGUCGUAACAAGGUAGCCGUAACUCUAGAGUUUGAUCCUGGCUCAGAUUGAACGCUGGCGGCAUGCCUUACACAUGCAAGUCGAACGGCAGCACGGGUGCUUGCACCUGGUGGCGAGUGGCGAACGGGUGAGUAAUACAUCGGAACAUGUCCUGUAGUGGGGGAUAGCCCGGCGAAAGCCGGAUUAAUACCGCAUACGAUCUGAGGAUGAAAGCGGGGGACCUUCGGGCCUCGCGCUAUAGGGUUGGCCGAUGGCUGAUUAGCUAGUUGGUGGGGUAAAGGCCUACCAAGGCGACGAUCAGUAGCUGGUCUGAGAGGACGACCAGCCACACUGGGACUGAGACACGGCCCAGACUCCUACGGGAGGCAGCAGUGGGGAAUUUUGGACAAUGGGCGAAAGCCUGAUCCAGCAAUGCCGCGUGUGUGAAGAAGGCCUUCGGGUUGUAAAGCACUUUUGUCCGGAAAGAAAUCCUUGGUUCUAAUAUAGCCGGGGGAUGACGGUACCGGAAGAAUAAGCACCGGCUAACUACGUGCCAGCAGCCGCGGUAAUACGUAGGGUGCAAGCGUUAAUCGGAAUUACUGGGCGUAAAGCGUGCGCANGCGGUUUGCUAAGACCGAUGUGAAAUCCCCGGGCUCAACCUGGGAACUGCAUUGGUGACUGG
rnacentral:rRNA from 1 species